rnacentral:tRNA from 1 species
GGAAGUAGACCACAUCAAAUUGCAAACUUGAAGGAGCACCCAUUUCAGUGCCCGGGCU